AUCUAAUCUCCUCCAGGCCGAAUCCAAAGCUAGAACCUUGCCUCUUCAUCACUGUAAUAGGAAGCUACUGAUCCAACCGACGCUCUGUCAUUUUCCUCGCAGAGCUACAAAAAAAGUAAAUCUAUAACUUUUGUUGUUAUGAAUUAGACUGUAUUAUUAAAUAUGUACGCUUUUCCAUCUCCUAAAUGUUGUUGAACUCCGCAGUUAUAGGGUUGUGUAUUUCGAUAGGGUUUUACCGCAUGCGUUAUUUUAUAAAUGUGAUUUUUUUCAGGACUAGGCCCAUAACUAGAUUUUAAUUGAGAUGUUUGAAAUUGGGCCAGAUAGCAUAAUAUCUGUAUUCUAGUAUGUUUGGGCUUAUUGUUUCUGUUAUUAUUAAUUGGUGUGGCUGAUGUCAGUAGAGUAGUUUAGGCUUACUACGGGCCUCGGGGGCCUUAAGUUUACCUGGGCCCUAGUGCCAGUCCGGCCCACGGAGUCGGGUCGUGACAUUUUUUUUCUUGUAUAUCAAUUUGCAAAAAUCUUGAUAAUCUUUUAUUUGUUCAAUUCUCUAGUAUCAUUUUAACUCA